rnacentral:rRNA from 1 species
UACGUAGGGUGCGAGCGUUGUCCGGAAUUAUUGGGCGUAAAGGGCUCGUAGGCGGUUUGUCGCGUCGGGAGUGAAAACCAUGGGCUUAACUCAUGGCUUGCUUUCGAUACGGGCAGGCUAGAGUUCGGUAGGGGAGAUCGGAAUUCCUGGUGUAGCGGUGAAAUGCGCAGAUAUCAGGAGGAACACCGGUGCGAAGGCGGAUCUCUGGGCCGAUACUGACGCUGAGGAGCGAAAGCUGGGGAGCGAACAGG